AGACACGGCGAAUGUGCCAUCUCACGGUUUCUGUCAAUCGGAAGUCGGGUAGACGCAGCUGGCUCUAUGCUCAGGGUAUCAUAAAGCUGAACUUGAGAUGACAGUUGACCUGGGCCUUUCCGUGGACGCUCUGGGAAGACUCUGCUUCUGGGCUCGUUUGGGUUGUUGGUCAAAUCAGAUAGUUGUCCUGAAGGACUGGAAGCCUGGUUUUCUUGUUGACUGCCAGCCCGAGGCUGCUAAAGGCCGCCUGAUUCCUUUUCACGUAGCUCCUUCAUCUUCAAACCAGCAAGGCCAGCAAGGAGUCAAGACAUUUAUGAAUAUGGAAACCUGUAACUCAACAUCUUCAGUUUCCGGAGGAAGAAAAAUCUCCCCCAUAAAACCUGUGAGGGUUGCAAACGAACGGGGAAGGAGAAAUCAACAUAAAUGGACAGUUUGAAUAAUUUUAAAUGUGGCAGAGCACUGCAUACCUCAGGAAAACCCCAUGAAGGAAGGGAAGGCUCCCGGGUGCAGGUGCCUGUGUGCGGUUCACACGGCGGCCGGAGGAUUCUUAGCGAUAGUCGAAGAUCACAGGACGAUGCAGCAGCGGUGACUGCCAGCCCUCUCGAGCCAGGUACUGCGGUUUUAUUCAACCACUGUUGGGCCGGAAAGGUCUCUUUCCAUCACGCCCUCAUGCGGACUGACCUCUGCUCUCCUUCCUGGGUCUUUACAACGCCUGCGCCUUCAGCGACUGCUCUUCUUUCUUGGAUGCUCUCACCGGUUCCCGUUGGAGCCGUAAUUCCAAAGCCAUGGUUGUUGUUCUGCAAGCUGAAGAGUACUCUCUUGCUCAGCUUCCUGCAGCACUGUUCAGGCAUUUAGGAGUACGCGAGGACGUUGCCCUUCAGUGACCCGAGCCAGGGCGAAGAUGACCGUGGAAGGUAGAGUUGGGCAUUGAUGACCUAACACCGAGAGUCAGAGACAAAGACACAAAGAGAAAAACCAAGUAAAUCUAUUUGCUGUCCUGAAGGGUGGAUCUGACUAACGUGCUCUAGCCCUGACUUUCACGGAUUCCUUGCUGUCUGGUGCUGACACUAACUGGUGCAAACCUCCGCAGAAGCCCCUUCCCUGGACAGGAAGCAUCAUAUGCCCGUUUUCUCCGGGAUGCAGACCGUGGCUCGGAGAUGCGCCGGUGCUCGAACGGACGAGGUCUGGGCCUCUCGCCAUGUGUUCAGCUGCUGCGUCGCCGUGUCCCUAACAGGCUUGCUCCCUUCUCUGGGUGGCUGAUCCCCUCUGCAGUAGAUCCACCUUCCCUAGUGUGGUCGAACCAGAGCCCGAGUCUACCACCAGCGUAUUCUCCAAAGACCCUGGUGCCAGCUGGCAUCCUGAGAACGGGAGAAGAAGAGAAUACCGGAGGGGCGAAAUCAUAGGAAUCCCCGGAUUGAGAACUCUACUCAAUCAUUCGGCCGGGCCGCGUUUUCACCGUGGGUCGUCCUGUCAGGACCCUCGACGUGGUGGCUUCACAAAGCAGAUGGAGGUCGAAAUUGAAUUGCUGCUGACUGUUGUCCCUUGUUAUGGCCUGUGGAGAUAUGACAGUUGAGGAAGAACUUAGAGGAAUGCCAAGUAGCAGAGCAUGAAAGAGUAGGUGGGACCCACUGCCUUGGACACUUUAUGGCUGAGAGCAUUUGGCAAGAAAAAAGCUGCAGCCUCUAUAUUAGCCCUGCAAAUAGAUCUCAACAUCAACCAUGCCCCCACCCUCACCUCUGUUUAAUUUGCCCCAUGAUGGAUGUAUUUACCAAGAUCUGUUCUUCUCAUUUCCCGCUACCUCCCUGGACCCCUCAUAAAAUACCCAGAUAAUGAAAUAGAUCACCCUCGAGAGUUUCCUUGUUUGGUUGAAAAAUUGGGCACAGGAAGCAGAGACCAGGCACAUGACAUGUCUUGUCUGUCCUACUUUUGAUUCCUUUGGGUUUGUCCUGUUUUGCGGUCAGUUUGACCAGGGAUUUUCACCUGGAGUCUCUGGAUGAUCUUGCAGAGGUGCCUGACCCCAGGGACUAGAAGCACAGUAUCUGGGCAGGGUACGGCACUCUUUUUUUUUUUUUUUUUUCCUUUUUCCAUCAGGAGAGAGUCUAUAGCUUUCACAAGAUUCUCGAAGGUGCUUAAGACUUCAAAAAAGCUUAUGAAUUCCUGCUUUGGAUCUUUGGUUUAUGGGGCAGUGAAACUUUGUGUGUUUGCUUUAACGACCGAGACACAGCAUUUUAUGGGAACGAGAACAAGGGAGUGGUGGAGAAAAACAGCUUGGAGGGCAUUAUUACCUUUCCCAAUCUUCAUUUCUUGUCAUGAAUUAUUAAUCAUGAGGUAACACUUCAUCUGAUGCUUUGCAAACUCUCCCCCUGGUAAGAACAGCCUAAUUGAAUUGGAGGAAGUGGAGCAAGAAGAGCUAAACGUGGUCUUUGAUGGUUUCACCAAAAGCAAUUAUCCACACUGCAGCCUUCUCCACCUGUUUGAAAACCCAAGGCCCACUAAUCCUGUGCCACAAGGGAACGCAUGGGAGGGGAGAGGCAAAAUUAAACUGGUUGAGCU
rnacentral:lncRNA from 1 species